CUCACGCACUAGGGACAGAACUAGAUGCAGUCUAAAGGCUGCUGUCAAAGCGCCCAGAUGCUCACUUUUUUGCCAUUUUUUUCUUGUAGUUCCUUUGUUCAGUUCCAUUCAAAUUAUCAACUAUAUUGUGCCUGCUACCAUGUGGCAGGCCCUGGGCGAGGUCUGCCGAAGGACACCGAGGCUGGUCAGCUGUGGGCCUUGGCUAAGCUGAUUAUGCAGAGAUAUCAGAAUAUCAGCAUUGAAAGGAUUCUGGAAGUUUCCAAAUCCAACCCAUCUUUUUAUUGCUAAGAAAACUGAGCCCCAGAGGGGUGAAAUUACUUGCUCAUCUAGUGUGCAGAGCCAGGAAGAGAAUGCACGGGUCUCUUCUCAUCCGAUGCCCUUUCACAAAUCAUCAUUUCCUUUACGAAGAUUAAAUAAGGGUUCUGUUUCUCUGAGGACUUCGGACGUUGGCUUCUGGGGGUCAGCAGCCCUGCACCACUCCCUUCCUUAGGCCUCCAUGCAUCUUGAGGAGCAAGGGCCAGCCCCAGGAUAACCUUGUAUGAAUGCCUCUUCUCAACAGUCCUCCUAGUUUACUUCUUGGAAUACCAGUUCCAGGGCCCAUGCUCUCAUCCUGUGUGGUUUAAAUCAUUUACAGAUGUGCUGCCAAGCUUCUUCAUUGUGUGUAAAAUUUAUUUUUGCUUCAGUUGCACACCAUACUGUUGGGUAGAACUCUGAGCUAAGUGAAUGGUGUGAUGUCCUGCAGAGUGGGGCCAACUGGCUGCAAAGAGGUAUGAUGUGAUGUCAAGGCAUUUCAAGGAAGACUUUCCUGGAAUAGGUGCAACUUGGUUUUGAGAGUUUAUAAGAAAGCAGGAUCAGGGUAGCGACAAGUUUAAGUCAACCUUCAGCUCGACUGAGCAACACUGAGUGAGCCAUGCAUUUCUGACUGUCCUAUGGAGAGACCUUGUUACCCCACUAGACCUGCCUAUGCACAUUGCCUAUGUUAUUGAUUUCAAGUGCUGCCACAAAUUCCAGAAUUUGAAAGUGAACAAAAAUGUCCAAGAGCCAUAGUCCUAAGCAGGACAUGGAAAAAGUGUUCCUUGGUGACAUAAUUUUGUGUAAUACUGGGUUGAACAAAGUUCAAACUGAUUCCUCACUGCAGGAUUUCUCAGUGCCUUAAUGUGUUAAUAUGUAUACUGUA